AGAGUUUGAUCCUGGCUCAGAACGAACGCUGGCGGCGUGCUUAACACAUGCAAGUCGAACGCGAAAGGGACUUCGGUCCUGAGUAAAGUGGCGCACGGGUGAGUAACGCGUGGAUAAUCUACCCAAUGAUCUGGGAUAACAUUUCGAAAGGGUGCUAAUACCGGAUAAGACCACGGAGUCCCUGGACUCUGCGGUAAAAGGUGGGGACCUUCGGGCCUACCGUCAUCGGAUGAGUCCGCGUACCAUUAGCUAGUUGGUGGGGUAAUGGCCCACCAAGGCAACGAUGGUUAGCUGGUCUGAGAGGAUGAUCAGCCACACUGGAACUGAGACACGGUCC
rnacentral:rRNA from 1 species